rfam:Haemonchus contortus, ISE/inbred ISE, WGS project CAVP01000000 data, contig: Hcontortus_42566
GGCAUAAACUUGAAGUAGAGUACAUUAGCAUGGUCAGAUGGUCGUACUAAUCAACUCUACUUCAAGUUUGAGCCC